CAAAAAUCCUUAUUAUUUGCCCUUUGCUCUGCCUGCCACCAUCAUCAUACCAUUAUUUGCCCUCUGCUCUGCCCGCCACCAUCAUCAUACCAGAUUGUCCGCAGAGGCUGAGGCUCUCGUGGUUAGUAUUCAACCUCCCACCAAACUCAGAGCGUGGAUAUCUUUGGGGGAGAAAACUGCCCACUACUGCUUAGCAGUUUGAGAGUGGGUUGGAUGUUGUUGGUGGUGGUGCUAUGGGCGGUUGUCGUCGCUUGGUUAUCACAUCAUUAUGGUGCUGAUGCUACUCAAGGCACAUCAAAUACUGCGGCGAAGGAGUGUAGGAGGCAGUGGAGGAAAAUUACCGCUCAAGGCGGCACGUUUGAAACGCAGGACCACCUAAAGAGAAAAAUUACUACUGAUGGCACCUCUUAUACGACUGACAAGGUCGAGAAAUAUAGGCAACCGAGGGGAGUCACUCUUCUAGGCCGUAAUGUUCCAAACCCCAUCAGGAUUUCGAUGACUCUGGGUUUCCAAGUAUGUACUUUUUGUUGUGACAUAUGUUCUCAUACAUAUUGUGAUUGUGUAAAUCCUAAGUAGAGAUAGAUUAUGAAUCAUUUGGGAUCUAGAAGAUCUUUCCUAAUAGACUUUGUA